GGUGCUGAUGGUGUAGGGGUUAAGCGCGCGACCAUGUGGAGAGGCUACAGUCCUCGAAGCGGCUGUCCUGGGUUCGAGCCCCGGCGACAUUU